CUGUGUACAAUCUGCAAAAUUCCAUUUUCUUUCUUUUGCUCGCUCGGGAAAGUUUUGAGAAAUUUACACUCUCUAAAUAUGGUGAAGCUUCUCCAGCAGAGUGGUGUUGCUGGUCUGAAAUCAUGGUCUAAAUGUAAUCCUACUUCUCUUAUCAGAUUUUCUACCAAUUCUCAAACCCUAGCAUCUUCGUCAGAGGAAGACAAUCUCAAAAAGCUGAUACGUUAUGCACCCUCUACUGUGCCCGUUAUACCAAUAAUUAACCAAUGGGUUAAUGAAGGGAAGACCGCGGAGUAUGAUGACCUCAAGAAAUCUAUCAAGUAUCUCAGGGCAGUCAGGCGCUUCAACCAUGCUCUUCAGAUUUAUGAAUGGAUUAACAACUCAGAGCGUCCUCAUUUAUCGUCUAGAGAUGUUGCAGUCCGACUGGAUUUGAUAUCAAAAGCUCACGGUCUGGAAGCAGCAGAGGAGUAUUUCGUUAGCAUUCCAGAUAAUCUGAGAGCUCCUUGUGUAUAUGUCGCUCUUUUGAACUACUAUGCUGAUGCAAAAUCAUUGAUAAAAGCGGAAGGUACAAUGCAAAAGAUGAGGGAUCUGGGAAUUGCUGAUGUACUGACUUACACUAUUAUGAUGAAACUGUAUGUUAAAAUGGGAGAUCUUGAGAAACUACACUUGUUAGUGCAAGAGAUGGAAGAUAAGGGAAUUGCUGGUAAUGCAUUCUCCUACACUAUCCACUUAAAUGCAUAUGCAUCUGUUCCCGAUAUUAAGGAGAUGGAGAAGCUUUUGAUGAAGAUGGAAAAAGAACUGCUGCUGAUUGAAUGGAAUGGUUAUGCAGUCGCUGCCAAAGGCUACAUGAAAGCUGGUGAUGUAGAAAAGGCUUCAGAGGUAUUGAAUAAAUGCGAGCACCUAAGUAAGGGGAAAAAUGCAAGGCUUGCUAAUGAAGUCAUUCUUUCCCUCUAUGCUAGUAUGGGAAAGAAAAAUGAUGUCUAUCGUAUAUGGAACAAAUUAAAGAAUAGAUGUAAUGUCUGCAGUUCAAGUUAUCUUUCCAUGAUAAGUGGACUGGAAAAGUUAAAUGAUAUUGAUGGUGCAGAGAAGAUAUUUGCCGAGUGCGAAGCAAAAGAGGUAUAUUUUGACAUUAGAAUUCCAAAUCUGCUCAUAGCCAUUUACGGCAGAAAGGGUCAUUUGGAGAAGGCUGAAUCCAUUAUAGAAGGACUCUUGGAGAGUGGGAAGAGGCCAAACUAUAGAACAUGGGAUCAUUUAGCACUCGGAUAUUGUUCACACUAUCAGAUGGAGAAGGCAGUUGAAACUUUGAAGAAAGCAAUCUUGGCUAGUGAGCCACUGUGGAAGCCAAAUAUUCACAGUUGGGCUCCGUGUGUUGAUUACUUGCAAUCGAAUGGAGAUACUGAAAGAGCAGAUGAGAUUAAAAAAUUGCUGGAGGAGCGAGGCCUCUUCUCAGCAGAGUAUGAAAAGUCUGAGAACUGCAUUAGAAAUGGAAAUUGUGGUUCCGAAGAACUUGAUGUAACAGAAGAACUUGAGGAGACUGGAUGACCACUGUUGUAGGAACUCUCUAGGGUACUUGAUGGAGGAUUACUUGUUUGAGGAUGUUAGAAUAGAAUAUUAGAACUGUUAGGUUCUUAAAUAGUUAAGUAUGAUAUUUGUUCACAUUGGACAACUACCAUAUGUACAUUAGUAAAUAUCUACGCACAGCAUAGGAGUACAUAUUGAUAAGCUUAAAACUUAUGUAAGUGGUCUUAAAUAAGUACACUUGUCGCAGCUCCAUCAGCUUUGGGCUACCAAUCAAACUAUUAUGACCCUGAACUCCCAGGAAAUUCUUCAGGUUUGCAACAGGAA